rnacentral:rRNA from 1 species
GCCGUUAGUUACAUGUGUCUAACGGGACUGCCCGGCUCAACUGGGAGGAAGUGGGGACGACGUCAAGUCAGCAUGGCCUUUAUAUCCUGGGCUACACACACGCUACAAUGGUCGGUACAAUGGGUCGCCAAGCCGCGAGGCGGAGCCAAUCCUCCAAAACCGGCCUCAGUUCAGAUUGUAGGCUGCAACUCGCCUGCAUGAAGUUGGAGUUGCUAGUAACCGCGCGUCAGCUAUAGUGCGGUGAAUACGUUCCCGGGGCUU